rnacentral:miRNA from 1 species
UCUCUCUGUAGCCCCAACUGGCCUGGAAUUCACUAUGUAGACCAAGCUGGCCUUGAACUAACAGAGAUCCACCUGCCUCUGCCUCCGGAGUGCUGGGAUUAAAAGCAUGUGCUACCAUGCCCG